UACGUAGGGGGCGAGCGUUGUCCGGAAUGAUUGGGCGUAAAGGGCGUGUAGGCGGCUUUAUAAGUCUGGAGUGAAAGUUUGGGGCUCAACCUUAAAAUUGCAGUUGAUACUGGCGUCCUUGAGUGCGGUUGAGGUGUGCGGAAUUCGUGGUGUAGCGGUGAAAUGCUUAGAUAUCACGAAGAACUCCGAUUGCGAAGGCAGCGCACUAAGCCGUAACUGACGUUCAUGCUCGAAAGUGUGGGUAUCAAACAGG
rnacentral:rRNA from 1 species